UACGAAGGGGGCUAGCGUUGCUCGGAAUCACUGGGCGUAAAGGGCGCGUAGGCGGCCAUUCAAGUCGGAGGUGAAAGCCCAGGGCUCAACCCUGGAAUUGCCUUCGAUACUGUUUGGCUAGAGACCGGAAGAGGUAAGUGGAACUGCGAGUGUAGAGGUGAAAUUCGUAGAUAUUCGCAAGAACACCAGUGGCGAAGGCGGCUUA
rnacentral:rRNA from 1 species